rnacentral:rRNA from 1 species
CCUACGGGAUGCAGCAGUGAGGAAUAUUGGUCAAUGGGCGCGAGCCUGAACCAGCCAAGUCGCGUGAAGGAUGAAUGCCCUACGGGUUGUAAACUUCUUUUACAAAGGAAUAAAGUGCGGCACGUGUGCCUUUUUGUAUGUCCUUCAUGAAUAAGGAUCGGCUAACUCUGUGCCAGCAGCCGCGGUAAUACGGAGGAUCCGAGCGUUAUCCGGAUUUAUUGGGUUUAAAGGGAGCGUAGAUGGGUUGUUAAGUCCGUUGUGAAAGUUUGCGGCUCAACCGUAAGAUUGCAAUUGAUACUGGCAGGCUUGAGUACAGUUGAGGUAGGCGGAAUUCGUGGUGUAGCGGUGAAAUGCUUAGAUAUCACGAAGAACUCCGAUUGCGAAGGCAGCUUACUAAACUGCCACUGACAUUGAUGCUCGAAAGUGUGGGUAUCAAACAGGAUUAGAUACCCGUGUAGUC